rnacentral:tRNA from 1 species
UAGCUUAGUCAGUAAAGAAUCUGCCUGCAAUGCAGGAGAUCCAGGUUCAAUCCCUGG